rnacentral:lncRNA from 1 species
UGAGAGAGAGGAUGAUCAGGGCGGUUUUCGACAUUUGGGUUGUCUUAAUCCAAUUUCAAUAUAGUUACUUUCGUACUAUUAAAUUUCUUUCUUGAAUUUAAAUUUUUUUUGGAGGGCCUGAUGUUUGUUCUGCUUUGGGGUUGUCCAAAUCCAAUGCUUUGCUGGGCUUACCCCAAUACCGGCACGAGGAUGACAAGAAUUAGCAUCGGAAAAAAUCCAACGUAGAAUUUUUCUUCAAACUAUUCUAGCAGCAGCAAGAGUCGUAAAUGGAAAGGUCGUUUGCCAAGGACGUACAAGGUAAUUUACAGAACAAAUCCUUCCCAAGUAAGGCGGUUGUUUUUAUUUACUCUAUUUUUCUUCCCAAGUAAGAUAAGUUACAGAACAAAUCCUUCCCAAGUAAUCAAAUUUAACCAUUAGAUUACAAUUUAUGUGGACCACACACCUUUGAAAAGAUAAAAAUAAUAUUUUUGGAGAAAAAAAUAGUCUCAGGUCAGUCAUUAGAUUAAUUCAAAUGGAUUUUAACCAUAAAUAAUGGGAGAUAAUUUAAAAUAUUUAAAAACAGUUGUGUCUUAUGUACAAGUCUUAAUUCGUUUAUCAAUCCUUUGAAUACUUGAAUAUUUAUAUAUUUUUAUAUAUUUUAAAUGACAAAUACAAAUACGAUAGAUUCAAACACAGAUGCUGACGUGUCAAACACAUCUCAUUCUGUAGAAAACAAAUUAAACUAGCUAAGUUAAUAUGUGUACAUGUCCUAUUCAUUUUUCAAUUUUGUGAAUACUUGGAUAUUUAUUAUUUUUUAUAUAGUUUAAAUGACAGAUAUAAAUAUGGCAGAUCGACAGAUACUAUGUGUCACACAUCUCAGUCUACAAGAAAACAAAUUAAAUCAGCUAAGAUGAUAUGUGUUUGACACAUCAACAUCUUUAAAUUAAACCAAUUGAAUUAAUACGUGCGUGAAUCUGUAAUUUAUAUCUAUGCACCUAAGGGUAUGUUUGGCUGGUGGAUUAGGAGGGGAUAACUUUUUUCCUCGGAUAAUUUUUUCCCCCGCGUUUGGCUGGCGGAUAUGGGCGGAUAUGGAGGCGGAUAUAUAAAUUUUUCCCCCGGAUAAUUUUUCCCCUAGCAGGUGGAUAGAGGCGAAAAUGUUUAGGUGACCUAGAACCCUAACAAAAGUUAUCCGGGAAUAAGGGGGGUGGGGAUAGAAAAAAUAUAUAUAAAGAGAAACAAGGUUAAUUUUUUUUUAUAUAUAUAGAAAAAAAUAAACAUAUUAGAUUUUUAAUAUCAAGAUAUUUUACAUUUGUUUCUCUCAAUAUCUGUACUCCUUGUAUAUCACACCUUAUCCACUCAUUCUAAAAAGUAUCAAAAAUAAAGUUAAAAGUUAUCUCCCUUCAAAACUUAUUCCCCUUCUAAAAAUUAUUCUCUCUAAAAGUUAUUCUCCUCCGAUCCUCUAGCCAAACGGACCCCUAACCUCAAUCCAUCCCCCCUAGAAGGGUAACCUGGCUAUGAAAUUUCCAAAUUUAUAUAGCCAUUGGUCCAAAUGCAUUUAUGAAGGGCCCACAACAUUAAAUUCUAUGUUUUGAGGUUAACCUCAACUUGGCUAAAGCCGCUUCCCACGUGAUCCCGUGGAUGACCAAAUUGAAUGGUUGACAAUUCAUAGGAGGAUAGUUUUCGCAAACUUUGGUUUUUUCGAAUUGCACUUUUUUAUAUUUUUAUUAAAUAAAAUUACUUAAAUAUAUUUUUAUAUUAUUAAAAAUAAAAUAAUACAAAAUAUAAAAGUAUUUGGAUAAUUUUAUCUACUAAAAAAGAAAGUGCAAAUUAAAGAAACAGAAAUAAAAAAAUCAAGGACGGCCAUGUACCUAGAGUGAGUACAUUAAUAGAUAUCAGGUUCUAAGUUGCGCUAGCUAAAUUAAUUCAAUUUUAAAUUUAUUUAUAAUUUUUUUUACCUGAUUUUAUUAUUUUUAAUGAUUAAAAUUUCAUUGUUUUUUAUCAAAAUUAUUUAUCUUUGUCUUUUAGAUAAUUUGUUGAGUAUAACUUUAAUUUUUUAUAUUUUAAAAUUAUUUUUGUUAAGAGAAAUUAAAAAAUUAAAAAAUUUAAUUUAACGAUAAAAAAAUGACUAAAACAAAAGCUAACAAAACAAAAUAACUAUGCAAGACAAAGGCCGGCGGCCGGCCCCCUAUUGAAAAAUAGGCAUGCAUAAAGACAAGGGCAGCGCUAGCUAGACACGGUGCAUACUUGGCAGAGAUUAUUGUACGAUUUUUUUUGUUUUAAAAAUUGUAUCAGAGUAUUUGAUAUAAUUUUUAUUUUUAUUUUUAUUUGUGAAUUAAGAAUAAUUUAUAAAAAUUAAAAAAUAACUGAUUUUUUGAAAGCUUUAUUAUGAAAUUUUUCAAGUUAUGUUCAAUUGUAUUAAACACCCUCAUAAAAUAUGAAGUCUAUUCAUUUAAGGUGUGUUUGGAUAAAAAAUUUAUUAAAAAGAAAAAAGAAAAAGCUCCGGACUAAAUUAAAUUUUUGAGCGAUUGGAUUUACAAUGUUUCUUCUUUAAUUUUUUUUUUCCUUCAUUAAAUUGUUAAUAUUGAUAAAAAGAAUUUUUUUUAAAUUUAGGAUAUUACUAAUUUGACUGCUGUGUAAUUCACACUUCGUCUUGGUAAUUAGUUACUCCCACCCCUGACAACCCCACCCCUUAACGUGACUAAUAAAUUUUUUUAAUUUUUUACUUUUACCAUAAUUCCCCUACCAACUUCCACUUUACCAUUAACCAUUUAAUUCUUUUUUUUUUAAUACCACUGUUAUUUAUUAAAAAGAUAUUCAAAAAUUUUUAAUUUCUUUUAAUUUUAGCUUCCGAAAUUUUAUAAUUUCUUUUACUCCCACCUUAUAUUUUUAUAAAAAUAAAAAAUAUAGAGCAAGAUCUGUAAUAAUUUUUUAAAUUUUCUCUCAAUUUAUAAAAUUUAAUGCAAAACUAAUUAAUAUAUAUUUUUUUAAAACACUAAAGCGAAACAUUUAGAAUUUAUUCAACUAAAUAAAUUUCACUCAACUACAUAAAUUUUUUUUAAAACACUAAAGCGAAAAAAAAAAUAUCUGGAUUUUUAGCUUUAAUUUUUUUAUCUUAAAAAAUUUAUGUUAAUUAGUUUUGUAUUAAAUUUAUAAAUUGAGAGAAAUUUUUAAAAAAAAAUUACAGAUUUUGAUCCAUAUUUUUUUCUUUUAUAAAAAACUAGAUGUGGGAGUAAAAGAAAUUAUAAAAUUUUAUUAUAAAAAUUUUUUUAUAUAAAAAUUUAGAAGGUGAAAGUAAAAAAAAAUUAAAAAUUUUUGAUUAAAUUUUUUUUAAUAAAUAACAAGAAGGUAGUAUUAAAAGGAAAAAAAAUUAAUAGGUGAGAGAGAGAUGAGAGAGAUAAGAAGAAGGGUAAAAUUGAAAAAAAAAAGAAUUUUAUGGCACAUCAUCCCCCCCUGUCAGGGGGAUUGGGGAAAACAGUUCUCUUCAUCUUGGCACCACCAGGCCUGAAUUGGGACCAAAGUUACCAAAACACCCUCAUGAUCAUCCUUAGCCCUCAAAGUCCUAGAACAAUGAAAAGAUAUAUUUCAUACAUACAAUAAUACACUUGUGAUAGCAAUAUCCAUGACUCAUCGCAAGCACAUAUCUAGACAAAAAUUCAAGAAGAAAAAUGUUACUUUACUUAAAAUAUAUAUCAUAAUAUGGUACUAAAAGAUUCACAAUUAAUCAUGUUAUUCGGUAUUCAUCGGUUUUCAAGUCCUCUAACAGGUUAGUUAUCCCCAACCUGAGGCAGGUCUUGAUCUUUGUGGGGCCUUCCUUGUGCCUAUGUGGCGCGUGGACGAAGCUUCCCAUGAACCUAGAGUCCUCGGUCGGAUCGUCCUUGUCGUUGAUGAGCACAUCGAAUUGAAAUUCUACCUUGGAACCUUUUUGAAAAGAUGAGUUCCGACAAGGUUGAAUAUUGAAUUCCAACUAAUCACUAAUAAUUCUAUGUACUAACAAAAAAAGAUGAUAAUAAUAAUAAUAAUAAUAAUAUAAUUAUUUUAAAAAAUUCCCCAUAAAAAGAAAACGAACUUAUGAAAUUUUAGGUCCAAUUUUACCUCAGUGGUGGUUGAUGUUUUUUCUGCUGCCAUGGCCAAUUGCCUCCUCCUUCCUGGGCACUUUCAAACUGAUGGAGGAUCUGAACUGGAUUGCUGGACAGCACCAUUAAAGUCAAUGCAACAUCAAGGGAAAAAGAUUAGGUCAAAUUAAUAAAAUACUUAAUGGUGGGAACUGGCUCAAACUAUUACUUUAUAUAUUACUUUGGAGAAAACUCAUUUCAGUGGCAUAUUGAGAAAAAUAUAUCAAAUUAGAUGUAUAAUGCAAAAUUAUCUCCAAUAAAUGGAGACGCAGACAUCUAAAAUAAUAUUAUAAAUAUGAGAUUAUUCGUUAAAUGGCGCCAAUGAAGUGAGUGGAAUGAUUGUCUGAUGCAAAUAAAAAAGUGAAUAGUUGAAUAUUUUUUUAGGUAAAACACUUGCAUCUCACACUUAUUUUAUUUGUACGAGAUAGAUAAUUUAUUUACACUCAGUCUUAUAUUUUUUUAGAAAUUCGUUUAGUUGACGUUUCUUAAAACUUAUUUUUUUGAUAGUUUUUUUAAAUAAUUAUUUUUGAGAAAACAUUAGAUAUACGUUUUUAAAUUCUUGAAAACUAUUUUUAUUAGAAACUAAAUAACAUAUGAAAAAGGUAAAUGUUUAGAGCAUUCAUAUUAGUUUUACUAUUUAUUCAUUCUAUUUUUAAGAAUUUUUUUCAACCAUCAUAUUUGUUAAAUGGUCAUAUUAUUCCAACGGCGAUAUUUUUUAAAUGAUAUAUUUUUAAAAUGGUUAUAUUUUUAAGAAUGUCGUAUUAUUCAAACGGUUGUAUUUUUUAAAAUAUAUUUUAAAAUGAACAUUUUUUUGACUCAUAUAUUUUUAAUUAAAUGGUAUACAGAUAAAAAAACUAAUUUUAAAAAAUAAAAUAAUUUAAAAUAAAUAUUUUCAAUAAUUAAAUUAUUAAAUAUUAACUUUUAUCCAACUUGAUACCUAGCAGCCUAUCCUCUUACAGCGUCGGCAAAGACUAUGAAUUCUUGGGGACCGCAAAACUUACCCUGAUCCGACUAUAGCGCAUAUGUUCAAUAAUCAUGUUUAAUAAAUACAAAGUCUACUAGUGUAAGAAAUUAAAAUUAUAUCAUUUUUCAUAGUCAAGACAAAAGUAUUAAAAUUUUGCGCUCCAGUCUUACUGAUAGUGUAUCUAGUUUCAUCUAAGAUUUUGAACAAUAUAAGUCUAAUCUUUCGUGUGUAAGCAGUAUUCUUCUACACGUCAAAUUAUCUAUUUUUUAGAAUAAGAGACAUCCAUGCUUAAGUAUUAAAUAAAUAAUACAAAUACAAACAUUACUUACACAAAUUAUUAUUAUAAUGGAAUAAAUAAUUUAUUAAUAACACUAAAUUCAUUAAUAAUUGAAUAGUUUCUAUGAGUGAGUUGUCAAAUAAAACCUUAUCUAGUCCAGAUUGGGAUGGGCCCACUCCCUUAUCGUCAACCAUCGGAUGAGAAAAUCUAACACGUGAAAGAAAUAUACCAUACUGGUAGUGGUCCUGCCUAGGGAUGGCAACGGGCCGGUUGGGCCUCCCCCACCCCCACCCCGACCCCGUUUAUCAAAACUCACUCCCGCCCUCGCCCCACCCCGCCCCAUUUAGUAAUUUUAUUAAUUAUAUAUAUAUUUUUUUAUAUAAUUAUGGUAUAAUAUAUAUAUAAUAAGGAUAUUAUGAUAAUUUUUUAAAAAUCUGAUUAAUUUUUAUUUUUUUAUAUAAAUCGGGGAAACUCGGGCGGGUUUCGGGGUUGGAGGAGGCUUUUACCCCGCCCCGCCCGUGUAAUCGGGUGUUAAUUUUUUCCCCAAACAGCCCUAAAACGGGACCGGGGCCUGACGGGACGGGUUCUUAGGGUCAAAUUGCCCAUCCCUAGUCCUGCUCUUUGGUACCCGAAUUUCCACAAAGCAUAUUCUUUUUUUUUUUAAAUAAAAUGAUGUGAUGGCCACAUUAUUUAUGUGCUUAUGCUAAGAUGCCAAAAUUAGCUUUAAAUUUUUUUUUGAGAAACUCAAUUUAGAUUCUUUUUAACUUUUAAUUUAAAUAGUCAAGUAUUAACGAAUAUUUAGCUACAACAAACACCCAUGACUAGAUUUAUAGUCUCUACCUUAGUAUUAUUAUGGUUUUUCGCUCACGAGAGCCAAAAUGAAUAUUUAGUGGGAUCAAAAAAAUUAAAAUUUAUAUUUUGCGAGAUUAAAAGAGUUAGAAUUUAUGUUCAGUGGGGUUAAAAUUAUAAAAUAUAUAAAUUUUAUAAUAAAUUAUUAAUUUUUGUAAGGUCAAAAUUAUAUUUAUGAUAAAUUAUAUUAAAAAAAAUGAUAUAUUUUUUUUCAAUGGGGUCAAUUAACCCCACUUGCUCCUACAUGACUCCGACACUACUUUCGCCCAAGGUGAACAAAAUGAUUAUAUUCAUAUUUGACUUAAAGUAUAAAAUGUUAAUUGACAAAAAUUAAAAGUGAAAAGCAUAAAUUGAAACUUUGAUGAAAGUGAAAGGGUAAAAAGUGUAAGUAACCAUUCUUAAGUGAACUCCCAACUACUGGGUAUUACAAAGUUGUACUACAAAUGAGCUUGUAGUACAAAGUACAAACAGAGAUGGUUCAUUAAAUUAUAAAACCUAACACAAUCCCUAUAUGGCAUUGGAAAAAAACUGUCGAAGAUUUUUCUUCAACCUAUUCUAGCAGCAGCAAGAUUCGUAAAUGGAAAGGUCGUUUCUUUGUUAGCAUUCAAGCCAAGGGCGUACAAGGUAAUUUACAGAACAAAUCCUUCCCUGAUUGUUUUUAUUUACUCUAUUUUUCUUCCAAAGUAAGGUAAUUUACGGAACAAAUUCUUCUCUUGUAAGGUAUUUUAGUCAUUAGAUUACAACUUAUGUAAGCUCUACACUUAAUAAGAAAGUGAUAUUUUUUGAGGAAAAAAAUAGUUUCAUGCGAAAUCUCAGCUAGUGGAUUAACUCAAAUAGAUUCUAACAGUUUGAAAGAUAAUUUAAAAAAUUUAAAAAUAUUUAUGUUUUAUAUUAUAGAUAUGUACAAGUCUUAAUUCGUUUAUCGAUCCUUUGAAUACUUGGAUAUUUAUAUAUUUUUUUAUAUUUUAAAUGACAGAUACAAAUACGAUAGGUUCAAACACAGAUGUUAAUGGGUCAAACACAUCUCAUUCUAUACAAAAACAAAUUAAACCAGCUGGGUUAAUAUGCGUACAAGUCUUAUUCAUUUUUCAAUUCUUUGAAUACUUGGAUAUUUAUAUAUUUUUUAUUUAUUUUAAAUGACAGAUAUAAAUACGGCAAAUAGACAUAUACUAAAUUAUAUGGUGUGCAUUUGGAUUAAAGAUUCAACAACUUAUACUAUUAAAUCGUUGAAUACAUAGCCCGAGAGGCUUGUUCAUCACAAGUGGCUUACAGUACGAAAAACAAAUGAAAUAAGAAAAAUGCUACUUCUACAUAAACCAUACAUAAAAAAUCUCACAAAACGAUGCAAUGGUGACUUAUUUUAUUUUUAAAUGAAACAUGGAUUCACGUUCU